rnacentral:rRNA from 1 species
UGGGGAAUAUUGCACAAUGGGCGAAAGCCUGAUGCAGCAAUGCCGCGUGUGUGAAGAAGGCCUGCGGGUUGUAAAGCACUUUCGGUAGGAAAGAUUAUGACGGUACCUACAGAAGAAGCACCGGCUAACUCCGUGCCAGCAGCCGCGGUAAUACGGAGGGUGCAAGCGUUAAUCGGAAUUACUGGGCGUAAAGCGCGUGUAGGCGGUCUUGUAAGUCGGAUGUGAAAUCCCCGGGCUCAACCUGGGAACUGCAUUCGAUACUGCUCGACUAGAGUAUGGAAGAGGGAAGCGGAAUUCCGGGUGUAGCGGUGAAAUGCGUAGAUAUCAAGAGGAACACCUGAGGUGAAGACGGGUUGCUGGGCUGACACUGACGCUGAGGCGCGAAAGCCAGGGGAGCAAACGGGAUUAGAUACCCCAGUAGUCCCUGAGCGGGCUGGCAAGGCGCAU